AGGGUGGCGGGGGUGUAGACUGUGUCUGGUGGACAGCUGGGUAUAGACCUGUGCCUGAGAAUUAAGGAAGACACGCACACAUAUUGUGUGCUUACUGUAUUCAAGGGAUUAUGUCAGGUCCCCAAGAUCCACGGAUGUUUGAGAAACAGUCCCGGACCUCAAGAGUCUCACUGCCUAGUGGCAGCACAGCCAGAGGAGGAGAGGAAGAAGUCUAAAUUUCAGAGCAAAGAAACACUGACAUAUUUUUCCCAGCAGACAAACUUUGAAACAUCAAAAAGAAAAAUGAAGAUUUGAUCACUGUUUAAAUAUACAAUAAUACUGAAACACAGGUCUAAUUAUAUGUAACACCCAUGACAUACUUACUUGAUUGAAAAUGAUUUCUGACAGCAGCUCAAGGACAAGAAACUAUUUUGAAAGGUGAUCAGGAAAAGCCAUCUUGACUGUGUCAAUUGACGAUGAAGAUAAAGAUGCAUUAGGUUAAUGACGCAGGAGCGUUUGAGAUGAAGGAUAACUUUUAAGUCAACCCCCAGCCUUUUGAGAACCACCUGUCUUGGGAGAGCCAGUCUGUACCACCUACCAGGAGCUGCCCCUAAAGUGUCGAGAUGAAGUAGCAUGAAGGAGAAGACUCGCGCGGUAGGAGAGUCCGCUUCCAUGUCGCUGGUCCAGCUCAGAGCCUGGUGCUCAAUUACUAGGGUGCCUGCAAGCAAGAACAAGAUCCUAUUUUCCAGUGGUGGAAAGGUAAACUGCUCUGAGAGGAGGCACCAUCUUCAACAAAGUAUAACCAAUCAUGUAUUCCAUUUAGUCCAAGGAAGAAGAAAGAAUUAACUGCUGAAUUUACUACAGCUAUUUUAUGUGUAAAUGAAAUUUAGUCAAAUUUCUUUUUGUUAUAAGUGAGUCAUUUUUAUAUUUAAGAAUUUUAAGUUAAUUAUAUUCUGCUAAGGACUUCUAGGAAAGUCUGCUGGAAAAUGAAGAAAAACAAGGUUAUGUGUUGCAAUUAAUUCCAACUGCCCUAGAGCUUUGCUUAUUAGUAGGCCAAUGCGUGUUUUAUGUUCAUGCAAAAUACACAAUUUAGAGCCUUUUUUUAUUCAGAGCAUCCCUAUUAUACAAAUGUUAGCAGAUGUACCCAGAGAUGAAUAGGCAUGAUUGAAAAUGGUUGCAUAUUGACCUGACACUAAUAUCGCCAUGUGCAGGCAACAGAGCGCGAGGGAUACAAUUUCAUUUGUAAUUGAUCAUGCAAACAAGUGCACGCCCAGUCCCAUGAUAGUAGUCUUUCCAUCUCCAAUACCUGCUGAGCAUGCACACCCUCCCAAGGAGUUUUAUCCUGUAGGGAGAAUGUACUUAUUUCAAAAGAAUGAAACACGACGAAGCUCAAAUUAGUCACUGUUUUAUAAGAUUAUGUGUCACCUCAGUAUGAACUCCCAAGAGAUCACUAAACUCUCUGCCCUGAAAAAAAAAAAAAAAGUCUGGAAGGUAUGAAACAAUUGGUAGCUUUAAAAUAUUUUAGCUGAGUAAGAUAUUGGAUUGUAUACAAGUUGAGAGGGACUGUUCCACUUAUAUUCCAAGAACGAUGGUCUUAAUGGAAUAGACUGUGAUCACCUUCAAAGUAGGAGCACAGAUUGUUGUGGUUUGGGUCACCCAUGGAUAAUUAUAACCUGCUGGGUGCCAGUUUGAGUGUAUGAAAUAGUGAAAUUCUGCCGUGAUUUUGAUACAUGCAAAAUGACUUUUUUAAAAAAAGAUGGAUGACAGAAAAUUGUUGAAAAUGGGCCUAGAAAUAUAUUCACUGGAGUUCACAGUAAUUUAUAGUAUAAGUCACAAAACCCUGUUGGAGAAAGGGAAUAUGAAAAGAGCAGAAACAAAUAAACAAACAAAAAAAGGGUUAGGAUUUUCAUGUCCAAAACCUUGGAAAUGAACAGCUUUGUAGCACAACUAGAUUGUACCUUUCGCGGUAUCAAUGAAAUCU